CUAAUGGGAAGUUAGAGUGUUUACUGUUUGCCAGGAACUGAAUGGAAUUCUGGGGUUACAAAGAAAGACAAAAGUAGUGCCUGGCUUUAAGGAGGGGGGAGAUAUGUGGAUGACAGAGAUAUAGAUGAAGGUAGAGAACUGCGGGAGCCUAGAAGCUGAAGCAGAGAGCGAGUAGGGGUACAGUCAGUUUAAAUACCCAUUUUGUUCUCGGCCCAGGAAAGUGAAAACAUCCUUUGUAACUUACUUUUCCUGAUGGGAGUGAAGAGUGUGACAAUGUUAAUUCCCUCCUAUAUUCAUGGAUAUGCGGACAAAGAAUUACUAGUACACUUUAAGUCAUAGAAGUCUAGUGGCAAGAGGACAAUCUGGACCACUGAUGAUGGCUCAGGAUACAGUAGAUGAUGUUGACAUCUUUGAUGACUGAUCAAGCUCUACGCACUCCACACACCCACUUCAGCUGCCUUUGUGGCCAUUAGAACAAAUUAUUCUCCUCUUCCCAUUCCUCUAGGGGAAGUAUUCACAUGCUAGAGGAGGUACCAGAUUUCUGAUGAUGGGGCCUGGAGCUCUUGGCCAGAUGGUAAAGGAAGUACUUAAUCCAGGUCUGAUUAGGCAUCUAGGAAACACCCUUCCCCAAGGCUCAGAAAGGCACAUCUCAAGACUCCUCCCAUGAUUCUACUCCAUCAACAAGAGCUUAA